UACGGAGGGGGCUAGCGUUGUUCGGAAUUACUGGGCGUAAAGCGCACGUAGGCGGCUUUGUAAGUUAGAGGUGAAAGCCCGGGGCUCAACCCCGGAAUAGCCUUUAAGACUGCAUCGCUUGAACACGGGAGAGGUGGGUGGAAUUCCGAGUGUAGAGGUGAAAUUCGUAGAUAUUCGCAAGAACACCAGUGGCGAAGGCGGCUCACUGGCCCGGUACUGACGCUGAGGUGCGAAAGCGUGGGGGAGCAAACAGG
rnacentral:rRNA from 1 species